rnacentral:tRNA from 1 species
ACGGCAGUGGUCUAGUGGCAAGAUUCGAGCUUCCCAAGCUUGCGAUUCGGGUUCGAUUCCCGGCUGCCGUA